rfam:Mus musculus chromosome X, GRC primary reference assembly.
AUCAUUAGCCAUACCACAUUGAACACUCUUAAUCUCAUCUGAUCCCAGAAGGUAAGCAUGGUUGGGCCUGGUUAACAUGUGGGUGGGAGACCAACAGGAAUUACUGGGGACUUGGAUG